GCCGGUUUGGCUCAGUGGGUAGAGCAUCAGCCUGCGGAACUGAAGAGUCCCGGGUUCUAUUCCAGUCAAGGGCA
rfam:Myotis lucifugus cont2.49967, whole genome shotgun sequence.